GAUGAACGCUGGCGGCGUGCCUAAUACAUGCAAGUCGAGCGAAUGGAUUGAGAGCUUGCUCUUAUGAAGUUAGCGGCGGACGGGUGAGUAACACGUGGGUAACCUGCCCAUAAGACUGGGAUAACUCCGGGAAACCGGGGCUAAUACCGGAUAACAUUUUGAACCGCAUGGUUCGAAAUUGAAAGGCGGCUUCGGCUGUUACUUAUGGAUGGACCCGCGUCGCAUUAGCUAGUUGGUGAGGUAACGGCUCACAAAGGCAACGAUGCGUAGCCGACCUGAGAGGGUGAUCGGCCACACUGGGACUGAGACACGGCCCAGACUCCUACGGGAGGCAGCAGUAGGGAACCUUCCGCAAUGGACGAAAGUCUGACGGAGCAACGCCGCGUGAGUGAUGAAGGCUUUCGGGUCGUAAAACUCUGUUGUUAGGGAAGAACAAGUGCUAGUUGAAUAAGCUGGCACCUUGACGGUACCUAACCAGAAAGCCACGGCUAACUACGUGCCAGCCGCCGCCGUAA
rnacentral:rRNA from 1 species